rnacentral:lncRNA from 1 species
AGGGGAAUUUUGGUGAGGUGUACAAGGGCACACUGAAGGAUAAAACCCCUGUUGCUGUUAAAACGUGCAAGGAAGACCUGCCUCAGGAACUAAAAAUAAAGUUUUUACAGGAAGCCAAAAUUCUCAAGCAAUAUGAUCACCCCAAUAUUGUCAAACUUAUAGGCGUGUGCACACAAAGACAGCCUGUCUACAUCAUUAUGGAACUGGUCCCAGGAGGUGAUUUUCUGUCCUUUCUGAGGAAGAGGAAGGACGAGCUAAAGUUGAAGCAGUUGGUGAGGUUUUCCUUGGACGUUGCUGCUGGCAUGCUGUAUCUCGAGGGCAAGAACUGCAUUCACAGAUUGUAGUUUAAGUGUCUGUGGCUGAGGUCAGCUUUAGUGUGGGAUGCAGCGCACC